CCUACGGGAGGCAGCAGUGAGGAAUAUUGGUCAAUGGACGAGAGUCUGAACCAGCCAAGUAGCGUGAAGGAUGACUGCCCUAUGGGUUGUAAACUUCUUUUAUAUGGGAAUAAAAUGUUCCACGUGUGGGAUUUUGUAUGUACCAUAUGAAUAAGGAACGGCUAACUCCGGGCCAGCAGCCGCGGUAAGACGGAGGAUCCGAGCGUUAUCCGGAUUUAUUGGGUUUAAAGGGAGCGUAGGUGGAUUGUUAAGUCAGUUGUGAAAGUUUGCGGCUCAACCGUAAAAUUGCAGUUGAAACUGGCAGUCUUGAGUACAGUAGAGGUGGGCGGAAUUCGUGGUGUAGCGGUGAAAUGCUUAGAUAUCACGAAGAACUCCGAUUGCGAAGGCAGUUCACUGGACUGCAACUGACACUGAGGCUCGAAAGUGUGGGUAUCAAACAGGAUUAGAUACCCUUGUAGUC
rnacentral:rRNA from 1 species